AUGCCUCUCCUUAAUGUCAAUAUGCCUUGUCCAUUGCUGUUCUGGUUAGUGUUUAUUGGCUUAUUUCACUGUAGCGCCUCUAGCCUUGCUCAUUAUACCUUAUCCAACCUUUCAGUUCCUCCACGCACACAUGCUAUGACAUCUUCUGGUUUCAAUGAUGUUUCUAGAGACAAUAUCUCUCUCAUCAUCACUCAGUGCCUAGGUUUACCUCCACUGUAUUCACAUCCUACCAUACCUUUGUCUGUACAUUAUACCUUGAAGCUAUUUUAUCGCCCCCAGAAACCUGCUCCUUUUACUCUCUAUUCUGGACGUCACAGACGACCAAUCCUCAUAGCUUUUAGCCGUACCCUUAUCCUGCUCCUCCUCUGUUCCUCUGGUGAUGUAGAGGUGAAUCCAGGCCCUGCAGUGCCUAGCUCCACUCCUAUUCCCCAGACGCUCUCUUUUGAUGACUUCUGUAACCGUAAAAGACUUGGUUACAUGAAUGUUAACAUUAGAAGCCACCUCCCUAAGUUUGUUUUAUUCACUGCUUUAGCACACUCUGCCAACCCGGAUGUCCUAGCCAUGUCUGAAUCCUGGCUUAGGAAGUCCACCAAAAACUCUGAAAUCUUCAUUCCUAACUACAACAUUUUCAGACAAGAUAGAACGGCCAAAGGGGGCGGUGAUGCAAUCUACUGCAGAGAUAGCCUGCAGAGUUCUGUCCUACUAUCCAGGUCUGUACCCAAACAAUUUGAACUUCUACUUUUAAAAAUCCAUCUCUCUAAAAACAAAUCUCUCACCGUUGCCGCCUGCUAUAGACCACCCUCAGCCCCAAGCUGUGCUCUGGACACCAUAUGUGAACUGAUUGCCCCCCAUCUAUCUUCAGAGCUCGCGCUGCUAGGUGACCUAAACUGGGACAUGCUUAACACCCCAGCCAUCCUACAAUCCAAGCUUGAUGCCCUCAAUCUCACACAAAUGAUUAAUGAACCCACCAGGUACCACCCCAAAGCCGUAAACACGGGCACCCUCAUAGAUAUCAUCCUAACCAACUUGCCCUCUAAAUACACCUCUGCUGUUUUCAACCAAGAUCUCAGCGAUCACUGCCUCAUUGCCUGCAUCCGUAAUGGGUCAGCGGUCAAACGACCUCCACUCAUCACUGUCAAACGCUCCCUGAAACAUUUCAGCGAGCAAGCCUUUCUAAUCGACCUGGCCCUGGUAUCCUGGAAGGAUCAUAACCGCCAUCGAUAA
rnacentral:lncRNA from 8 species